rnacentral:rRNA from 1 species
AGCGAACGCUGGCGGCAGGCCUAACACAUGCAAGUCGAACGAACUCUUCGGAGUUAGUGGCGGACGGGGGAGUAACACGUGGGAACGUGCCUUUUGGUUCGGAAUAACUCAGGGAAACUGGUGCUAAUACCGAAUGUGCUCUUCGGGGGAAAGAUUUAUCGCCAUUAGAGCGGCCCGCGUCUGUUUAGCUAGUUGGUAAGGUAACAGCUCACCAAGGCGACGAUCAGUAGCUGGUCUGAGAGGAUGACCAGCCACACUGGGACUGAGACACGGCCCAGACUCCUACGGGAGGCAGGAGUGGGGAAUCUUGCGCAAUGGGCGAAAGCCUGACGCAGCCAUGCCGCGUGAAUGAUGAAGGUCUUAGGAUUGUAAAAUUCUUUAACCGGGGACGAUAAUGACGGUACCCGGAGAAGAAGCCCCGGCUAACUUCGUG